AUGUUGAUGCAAGACUAUUUCGCAGAGAAUCCUACAUAUCCUCCGCACCUCUUUCUGAGAAGGUACCGAAUGUGCCGAUCCCUCUUUGUGAAACUUGUUCAAGCUUGCGAGGCAAAUUAUCGGUAUUUUACUCAAAGAAGGAAUGCCGCGGGCUUAAAGGGAUUUAGUGCAUAUCAAAAAAUCUCCGCAGCUAUGCGGGUGAUUGCAUAUGGCGUUCCGGCUGACUAUGCCGAUGAGUAUCUUUGCAUUGGUGAAGAUAGCACAAUGAGUCUGUGCGUAGAUUUGCGAAAGUGA
rnacentral:rRNA from 1 species